rnacentral:rRNA from 1 species
UUCCGGUCGAUCCUGCCGGACCUGACUGCUAUCGGAUUGAUACUAAGCCAUGCGAGUCAUUGCAGUAAUGCAAGGCAGACGGCUCAGUAAUGCGUAGUCAACCUACCCUAUGGACGGGAAUAACCUCGGGAAACUGAGUAUAAUGCCCGAUAGAACACUAUACCUGGAAUGGUUUGUGUUCCAAAUGAAUGUCGCCGUAGGAUGGGACUGCGGCUUAUCAGUUUGUUGGUGAGGUAAUGGCCCACCAAGACUAUUACAGGUACGGGCUCUGAGAGGAGUAGCCCGGAGAUGGGUACUGAGACACGGACCCAGGCCCUAUGGGGCGCAGCAGGCGAGAAAACUUUGCAAUGUGCGAAAGCACGACAAGGUUAAUCCGAGUGGUUUGUGCUAAACGAACCUUUUGACAGUCCUAGAAACACUGUUGAAUAAGGGGUGGGCGAGUUCUGGUGUCAGCCGCCGCGGUAAAACCAGCACCUCAAGUGGUCAGGAUGAUUAUUGGGCCUAAAGCAUCCGUA